GUGAGGAGGUGUACUGCCAUUGAUGCUAAGUCCACAGGCCUCAUUAUUUUAUGACUUUGAUGCAGCCAUGUGUCCCCUCAUUCCUGAUAUAAUUUGACAGUCUCAUAGCUGCCUUUCUGUGCUUUCCAGUCUGGUGUCAAUCAGCCCUGGUAAGCCAUUAUCUGAGGAACUUCUCUAUGUCCACCACAACCCUUGGGUCACCAAGGAUGUAUCCAGGCUCAGAUAGGAUGUCUGUUGUCGCAACCCACCGGUUGAGAACCUGUGAGAUAGUACAUGAUUUUUUUUCUCAUGGCCGUGACCACAUACCUGGCAAGAAGCAAAUGUGAGUGAUGAGAGAGCAGGCCUGGAUUGCCAGCCGAGAAGUAAUGAGUCACAAACAAGAGAGAGCAGAUAAACAAGACUAGUGUACCUAUGUGAAUUCAUAAUCGCUUUUCAUUUCCCAUGAUUUAAAUCCAUCAAAUGGGAAAGACUGGCUAUUAUGUCAGAAAUAUAAGAGACUAUAGGCUGUCUGUUCUAAGCGUUGUACAUCUUCAUGGAUGAGAAAGCUGGGCUCCAAGAGUUUUUUAUUCUCUCCUCUCCUCCCUUGGCUUGAGACUGCAAUAAAAGGCAUGGUUACCUGCAGUAAAUACCAGACUGGCUUUGUGCUCAAUGAGGGAGCCAGGAGAAGAUGUGGUGGGAGCCAAAAUUGUGAAAGAGCAUCUGAGAGAAGAGAUGGCCACUGUCUUGCCUCCCCUCUGUGGAAACUGAAGGCGAUAGACAAAAGGGAAGGAAGAUGCACCGGUCCAGGUUGGCUGUGCUUCGGAGCUUGUCUUAGCUUCUCUACCUGCCCUGGGAGUGAACAGAAUUUCCAACCACUUCAAACUGCACUGCUGAAACUCCAAGGGCUACCCCUGCUCACACUCAGAGAGCCUGGUACAGGAGGGUAGCAGGAAUUGGUCUCUGAAAUAGGAAUACCAGGCUACUACUGUGGGUCAUUCACCGCUUCACAGCAUCAGAUGAACAAACAAGGCCUGGAAGAAACAGAGAAUUGGAGCAGCUGUACAGUGGAGAAGGACCUUUGAGAAAUGGAGAAAGAACAGAAUUAGCAAGAGACUUGUAGCACUAAGAUGUGGGCCAAGCAGCAACUGGACAAGGGGAUCUUCAGAGCUGUCCAAGUGCAAGAGUUGCCAGAGGGGGAUGCACGUCUUAAAGAGCAACUGCUUCAGUGUUUAAAUGAAAAGCACCGACAAAUAGGAGGCACAGGAUGACCCAGUAGUCCUUCUCUGGUGCUGGAAUUCUGUACAUCCUCUGGAGAGGCCCGGAGCCCUAUUUCAUGAUGGAAGUGAGGGAAUCAGCAGCAGCAACAGCAAUAAAACAAAUCUUCUCUGGAAAAUUCUGAGCAUCCAGCACUGUGCAGAAUAAGGAGACACUGUGCAAGCAAAAGAGACUGAGGGAGGCAAGAUGCAUGCAGGCACAUGCCACAGGAAUGUGGGCCUUCCUCCGGGCAAAUAUCUUGGUAAACCCUGAGCAGCAGGCUCUUCAGUGUGUCCUCAGCUUCUGAGGGACGUACUCAUCACCCCCACCCCUUUCCUCCACCCUUGGCUUCCAGGGAGUCCCUCAGCAUGGCGCCUUCUCUGACGCAGAUGUGCUUGGCUCUGAAGAGCACCACACACUCCCUGAAUUUUGACAACAAAGCUUUUGACUCAUUCCAGCCCUGUGCGUACUUGCAUUUGAACCAACAGGAGAGACCUGCCUGAGUAAGUUUUAUAAGGUUCUCACUAAGCCAUACUGUCUCCACCUCUCAACCCCCGAAUAUCUGCUGCAGAAAUGACACAUGAUAAGGCCACCCACCUAUUUUGUACAUCACUUAUUCUUCAAUGGACCAGAACAUAGAAUCCUGGCAUCUUGACAUUUCCAACCACAAACCCAAAGUCUGAAAGCAUUUACCCAGCUGUGUGACAACAGUAUUCAAGAACUUGUUUUUCCUAGUAGGAGAGACUCAGUUACUUCUACCCACAUUCACCUUUCUGUGUGGUGCGUUGGAAUGGCCAUGAAACCUUAGAGUCCUCCCCUAGGUGCUAUAGGAGGACUCCACCAAGCUCAGGACCACAACUCAAGUUUGUGGCUUUAUUUUUUAACUCUGAAGCCAUGCUUGAUUAAUCCAUGGGCCCCAAAGGCUGCUUUCCGGACUACACGUGGCAUAUCAGAUGUAGCUGUGUAAGGAAGAAAGCUCAGAGCUUUUCAGUGGGGUCUGCUCACUGUAGCUGAGGCUCUGCAGCUCAACAGAGCUACAAAAUCUGAAGGACCUGGAGCUCACAAGAGAUCUGAAGCUUGGAUGGGCCUGUGACUCCUGGUUGUCACAAUCCAAUGCAAGGCCAGCCUUUGUCCUAAUGACUGAAAGUUGGAGUAUAUAGAACCCCGGAAUCAUCAGAAGGGGUGCAAGAUUGCUCCCAGGAACCAGACAUACUUCUUUCUCCCACUGACUCCUCUUCACCAAGACAACCACAUUUUGUUCUUUCUUCUGCUUCCUCAUCCUCGGCAGAGCACACGCCUGAGCACUUUAUUUGGUACUCAUGUGUAUGAACCUGCUCUGUUCUUUAACGAUCUCAUCGACAAAAUGGGCAAUACAAUGGUGGAAUGGUCUUAAGCAAAAAUCUCCAUCUUAAAAAAAAUCCACAGGGUUGGGGAUUUAGCUCAGUGGUAGAGCGCUUGCCUAGCAAGCGCAAAGCCCUGGGUUCGGUCCCCAGCUCCGAAAAAAAAAAAAAAAUCCACAAAGAUAUCUCCAAUGUUUGUGAUACGAAGCUAAAGUUGGAAAGAGUAAAAAUAUUUUGCUGGAAUAAGAGGCUAUGUGUGGGUACAGAGACGGAAGCUCACUCAGGAUGUCAGUGAGGACAAAGUGGCUGCUUCUACACAGUGCUCCACUGUAGCAACAGGACUUGAGUGUGGACAGUGAAGGGCGCUGCAGUUGCGUGGACGCAAGACUAGAAUCUUAAGGCAUACAGAGUGUUAUGCCGGAAGUUAUAGACCAGAAUUUUCUGUAAGUUUAUUUAUAAUGGGCAGGUUUUCAGUUGGAAACUACCGGUACGACUGACAUGCAUUUGUGGGACUCCUGUCAACCCUUUGAACUCGUGAUGUGCCUCAGGGCGAGGCAGACACACGGGGAGUUGAAUGGAGGUGAAAUGCACCUCUAAAACUUGGUGGAAUUAAGACAAAAGUCCUUACAGCUGCUUUGUGGGUGAAGAGUUUGAACUGGGAACUCAUUCUACUACUGUCAGGAUUAUUCAAUGGGAGGUCCUGGACCUCCUGACACCAUAUGCCUAGAGUUUGGAUGUCAGCGUGUGACUAGAAUGCUAGGGUCACCUGCCUUUCUCCAACAUCCUCAAGACAUCUCCAUGUGGUUCUUGCAACAAUGAAGUUGGACCCUUUCCAUUGGCAGCUUGGGGCCCAGAGAAGAAAGGCAGUGACUGCCAGCCCCCAAGGAGCCCAGCAUCACUUCCAACAUUGUCUGUCACUCCAAGUGGUCACAGGCUACCCACACUGAAGGGGAAAAGGAAAAGAUGGAUGCUAUUGAUCAGCAGCAGGGACACUACCGAAUUUGUAACCAUCCCCAGUCUGCUAUCAGGUUGUCUGUGCUGUGUAUUUUGACCACACCAGUAGAAAAGUAAUUUGGACACACACAGUGGUCCUGGUAUGAGAUUUUCUUCAGACUGACUCAUGCAGCUGUCACUUCUGGCUUCAAAUUUGGACAACUGCAGGUAACAUUUUGGAGAACUUAAAAAGAAGCCAUUGCUGUGCUCCAUUCCCUGCCACCCUCCAAAACAACUUCAGAAACUAUUUCAGACAUUUGUUGCAAGCAUAAUGGCUGGAAUACGACUUGUUCCCUACUGCCUGGAUUUCCAAGUUGGAUUCCACCACCCCUCUCAUUGGCACCCACUUUCUAGUUUUUAAAAUGGUAUUUCAGUGGCAGGAGCUGCUGAUUUGACCCAAAGGAUUAGGCUCCUCUGAGCAUAAUCAGAUUUUGUCAGAUGGUCGGACCUGGUUGCUGUGGGGAUGAAUAGCAAGGAUCAAAUCCCUCAUAUGACAAAAGAGAGGGUGUAGACUGAGCGGCUCUUCCCUCUGAACUCCUUUCUUCCUUAGAGCGAGCCUUGAGCCUGUUCACUGAGAAGCCGAGCGGGGAUACUUAGAGCUGACAGACAGGUCCCCUUCUUCUUGGCACCUGGGACCUAUAGAGAGGAGAAGCACGCUGGAACAACAAAACCACACGCCAUGAAUCAGAAGAGUAGCUCGCAGGGAGGCCAUGUGGACUGUGUGCCCUCUCCACAGGAUAAGGGUACCUCAACUCAUGGAAGAAUCUUUCCUGGGCACUCAGUUCCACACUGUAAAUAACAGGCGAUAGAGC
ensembl:lncRNA